GAGGUCCCUGUAGAAUCUGUGCUCUUCUGAAGUAGGAAGGUUGCGCACAGUAGGAAACGUCAUCUUCUUCCAGAAGACCUCGAGACACUGCUGGAAUGAUGACACCUCCUAUAGAAGCUGUGCUGCACUUGAAGAUAACCUUGGAAUGAGAAACACAUCCCAGAUUCAACAACCACAUUAAACUUGAUACUUGGACUUGAAGAGCACCAAUGUUUAAGCUCCUUGUUUGCGUCAGGCCUCUGGUGCUUCAGCUCUGAGAACAUUGUAUAUCAGCUGCAAGCUUAAGAAGCAGCUGGAUAUAAGUGAUGUGCCCUGUAAUAUGUUCAAAGCUGCUUGUACUGUAACACUCCUGUUUCAAAGAAACUGCUAUAUUUUUUUUGUUCCAAGUCUUUUGAUGAUUUGUUUAUCUGGGAAUUGCCCAGUCUAUUUAUACUGAGGCUUCAGUUUUGAGGAACUGUAAGGGCUGGGCUUUUUGUCCUAUUUUUCUUCUCUAGGUGUAGUAUACAAGCUUUUCAUUUUGUGUUUGUGGUAAGAUAUUGCUUGAGAAUGUUUGUACUGGACUAGUUCUGGAGUUCCAACUGCCUGUGGAAAUAACACAUGCUGUAAUGCUGUUGUUAUACUGUGAUUAUAAUAUAUGCUUCAGAUGUUCUAAUUAUUCUAUUUUACAAUGUGUCUCCCUUAAGAUCAGUGAAGUAAUGUAAUUCAGAACUGCCAGGGUAUCUGAAACAGUCUAAAGGUUCUAGCUGAGUAGACCAGCUCCUGGAAGUCAUUUUCAUGGGAGAUCUGUUAGAUAUUAAGUGAUGUGAAAGCUGCUGGCAGCUGAUAAUGUUUGGGGAAUGGGCUAUAUAAUAUAUGUGACAGGGUUUAAAGAGCCCAAGGAUAGCAUUUUGAUAAUGAUAGGGAAGGAAACUUCAUAUCUCCAACUCCUCAGUAUUCCUAUGGGAAGUGUUUUUGGUUUUUAAAGUGUUUUGUCAUACUUCUGACUGUGAUUCUUCCACCAGGAAGAGAGGUGGAGUGGUUGGAUAUGUUUGUAGCAUGCCUGCUAUUAUGUAAAACUACUUUUUUUUUUUCCUUAUGCAUUCUUUUAAAGCAAUUCUUAUGACGUUUCUAUGUAAUAAUUGUUAUUAAUCAUAACAAAUUUUGUAAUGCUUUGAAAACUAAGUAAAAUCAUCUCUGGGACAUCACUAGUAUUGCUUCUACACAUACAUGAUGGUGCUAUGCUGAUGCAACCUAUCUGACUAAAGUGAAAUAAUGCUUUCUUUGUAGUGUUUAGAGUGCAGGCAUUAAUCAUGCUUUAUUUCUAUACCUAAUCCUAAAGUUAGGAACAAGUAUGUAUUGCUUUGGCUGGUUAUCUUGAGCAACAGAUGAGUUUCUUGUAGAACCAGUAUUGCAAAAUGAGAAACACCAUCCUGGAUGUUUUGCAGUGCUGUCACUGUGACUGAGGAAUCAGUUGAAGACGUAGAAGUGGAUUGCUGCUUGUGGUGUACUGGCAUGUGGCACUGAUCUGCAGCAGGAACUCAGUUACUAAAAUCUUGGUGAGAAUGCCAAUGGCUGCGCUAAUGGAAGCACAGAGAAGAGUGUCAAAAUGAUCAAAACACUUCCAGUUCUGUUUUAAUAACCUAAUAAAUUUUAGUAGCAGAUACUGUUUGGGGGGAGAGGAAAGGAACUCCAAGGGAUGUUUUUUCAGAGGUUAAUGUUAUUGAAAUUUGGGGAAAUAAUUUCCCUGCUCCCAAUCUUCUGAGCAGAAGCUCUUGCACGACAGACAGUGGAUUGAGUUCCCCAAAGUUUAAUGCCAGAGUUAAAUGAAAGCCCAGAGACAAAAGUCUGUCACAGCUUCUGAAGCUGUACUUCUGAUUCAUCCUGUUUUCUAAUUAACUGUUCUGAGGACACUGAUCCUAAAGCAGAAUUUGAGCUUGAAAGUGCUAUAAUUUAAAAUUUCAGUUGAGACAGUGGAUAUAUUUCUAUUGCAUACGUAGUGUUCAAGACUAAUAGGCUUGUGAUUUUUUUUUUUUUCCUACCCAUGAUGGUAAGUUUUUUUUUUUUUUAGCAGAAACUUUUAAUUAGCCUUUAUAUUUUACUCCAUUGCUACUGUUCUCUAUAUGGCAGUAGUAUAAAUUAUACAAAACAGGUUAUUUCUAUCUGUGGUAUUAGAUCUACAGAAUUUAAUGCAAUGCUAUGCUGUGUCAGUGUCAAUCUGGUUAUUUUUCCCUACCUCUUAGUAAAUACCUGAGUGGUUGAAUCCAGAUACAGAGUUAAAUAGCUAAAAUCUCUUGUUUGGGAAUUGAUCACACUGAAUGACCAGGCAAAAGAAAGUCCUGAGUUUGUGGAAUAAAAAAUAACAUGUUAAAAGAAUUUCAUCUUGUUUCAGUAAUUUCACCUUAAGUGUAUUUCUAAAGUCCUUGUGAUGGCAUAUCGAGCACUUGUGCAUUUAAGCAUGAAGGUUUAGAUUUCUUAUAAUGUCAUUGUUAAUGAUGAAUGUCCAGAGUUGUCAUGGCUUUUGUUUUCUGUUAUUGGUAUCCCGUGUCAUGACAUGUAAUGCGCUGGGAGUUUAAGUUUUAAUGCUCCAGUUCUGUGGACCAUCGUUAUUUCUGGGUAUAGCAGUCCCUGAAGAGAAGGAGGACUACGUACCCUAGAUGACUGUUCUGUUUCCAUUUUCCAUUCAGAGGGAAAGACAACACUGUUCGCAGAUCACAAGAUGUCCUCUCUUCCCUUUCUGUUUGUCUCUGCAGCGUAUGUGCUUUCUAGCUGUCUUGUCUUCAGCAUUUGAGUAAGGCCUUUGGUUUUUGGACACAGUCUCAUUGUAUGUAUUGGUCUCAAUUCAAAUACUAUUGCAUUAUAUUAUGUUGUCAUGCAUUGUGAUAUU